GGCUGGUCUGAAAGUAGUGAGUUAUCUCAAUUGAUUGUUCAUAGUUAGUUACAAAUUGAAGUCCUUGUUCUACUUUUUCCCGUCUUCUCACUACUGUACUUGACCAGUCUUAA
rnacentral:Y_RNA from 1 species